GUAUAGACGAUGGAGGUCCGAAAAAAAUGCAAAAUGGGUAGUUCCGGUAUUAUCCUACAGCAAAUUUAUUUGUAGAGGGGGAACAAACGUACGCCGUAACAUAACCUACCCGAGCAUCGCUGAGCAUUGUCGAGUAAUACACUCACCGCUGGAUGAUCCCGGAAGCACAUUAUAGGCAAGUGCGUCGGAGUCUCUGCUGGUCCCAGGUCCUACGUAGUCCUUGGGUCCCACGUUGUCCAUAGUUCCCACGUCGUCCAUAGGUCCCACGUUGUACUGGUAUUCAACGAUAUGAUUUCAAUAAAUAAUCAAAUGUACUGUGAGCCGAAAAAGUAUUCGGACACCUUUUAAAUGCUUUUAAAAUGCAAUUGAAAUGAAUUGAAAGGAAAGGACAAAACAGGACAAAAGAAAGCACGGGAAAAACCGACCCUGUCCUUUCGUAUUGUAACAAAGUAUAUAAAAGCCGUAUUUUUUCUUUUAGUAAUUAUUUAGUAUUUUUAUAAAAAUAAUAACUAUUUACCUCUUAUUAUUAUCCAU